GCUAUGUACGGUUGUGAUAAGCGCUGAAAGCAUCUAAGCGCGAAGCCAUCCCCGAGAUUAGGUUUCGUUGGACUUCGGUCCUGAACUCCCCUGGAAGACUACCAGGUUGAUAGGCUGGCUGUGUAAGGCGUGCAAACGCUUAAGCUGACCAGUACUAACGGAGGAAUGCUUGACCAC
rnacentral:rRNA from 1 species